rnacentral:lncRNA from 1 species
CAAAGGCCUCGCUUUAAUCUGUUUUUCUUCUUACCUGAUGAACAGGGUGACAGCGCAGCUUGAGGAAGUUCAGACAUGUCCCCAGUCUCAUUUGCCGUUCUUCCCCUUUCCUCAUCAAGUGGGCCCUGACAACCUUUCUUUCUGAAGCUACAUAAAUUAAACAGGGUUAAGACUCUCAGUCCUUGUUCCAGCUCCAAAACAAGCCAAGACAAGAAAGGAUCCCGCAGACACAAAGAUAUUGAAAGUAUAUUUGUGCAAAGACAAAACAGUAAAUGAUGAGAUUCCAAGCCUCUCCAACUCUCUUGCUCUUCUAUUAAUUCUCGGACUUUCUCAUCACUAUCUAAAGAAAAGUCAAGUUGAAGGAGUUAUGUAGUCUCCCCUCCCCCAGCCUGAAACCUGCUUGCUCAGGGGUGGAGCUUCCUGCUCA